GACGAACGCUGGUGGCGUGCUUAACACAUGCAAGUCGAACGGAAAGGCCCUGCUUUUGUGGGGUGCUCGAGUGGCGAACGGGUGAGUAACACGUGAGUAACCUGCCCUUGACUUUGGGAUAACUUCAGGAAACUGGGGCUAAUACCGGAUAGGAGCUCCUGCUGCAUGGUGGGGGUUGGAAAGUUUCGGCGGUUGGGGAUGGACUUGCGGCUUAUCAGCUUGUUGGUGGGGUAGUGGCUUACCAAGGCUUUGACGGGUAGCCGGCCUGAGAGGGUGACCGGCCACAUUGGGACUGAGAUACGGCCCAGACUCCUACGGGAGGCAGCAGUGGGGAAUAUUGCACAAUGGGCGGAAGCCUGAUGCAGCAACGCCGCGUGCGGGAUGACGGCCUUCGGGUUGUAAACCGCUUUCGCCUGUGACGAAGCGUGAGUGACGGUAAUGGGUAAAGAAGCACCGGCUAACUACGUG
rnacentral:rRNA from 1 species